rnacentral:tRNA from 1 species
CACGUGGCUCAGUCGGUAGAGCACUUCCUUGGUAAGGAAGAGGUCACCGGUUCAAUUCCGGUCGUG